rnacentral:rRNA from 1 species
AAACAUGGCUCUUUGCAUUUAUCUUAUAAAGAGUCAGGCCUGCCCAGUGAAUAAUAUUUAACGGCCGCGGUACUCUGACCGUGCAAAGGUAGCAUAAUCAUUUGCCUUAUAAUUGAAGGCUAGUAUGAAUGGUUUAACGAAAGCAAUACUGUCUCCUUUCUACUUUCAAGAACUUAACCUUUAGGUGAAGAGGCCCAAAUUUAAUUGAAGGACAAGAAGACCCUGUCGAGCUUAAAAGAUAUUAUAGAAGUUUAUAUAUUUUUAGAUAAAUUUCCUAUUAAAGCUUUUUAGUUGGGGCGACUAAGGAACAAAAAAAGCUUCUUAUAAUAAAUGAACAACCUGGUUUUGAUCCGAUAAUAAUCGAUUAAAGGAAUUAGUUACCGCAGGGAUAACAGCAUAAUCUCUCUUGAGAGACCUAAUCGAAAGAGGGGGUUGUGACCUCGAUGUUGGACUAGAAUAUCCUAAAGAUGCAGAAGUCUUUAAGGGUCGGUCUGUUCGACCGUUAAAAUUUUACGUGAU